UCUCCUGUAGCUCAGUGGUAGAGCGUCCGACCGGUGUGCGGAAGGUCAUAGGUUCGACUCCAGUUGGGGAAA
rnacentral:tRNA from 1 species